rnacentral:rRNA from 1 species
GCAGACCAUCCUACGGGAGGCAGCAGUGGGGAAUAUUGCACAAUGGGCGCAAGCCUGAUGCAGCCAUGCCGCGUGUAUGAAGAAGGCCUUCGGGUUGUAAAGUACUUUCAGCAGUGAGGAAGUGGGUAUGUUAAUAGCAUAUUCAUUUGACGUUAGCUGCAGAAGAAGCACCGGCUAACUCCGUGUCAGCAGCCGCGGUAAUACGGAGGGUGCGAGCGUUAAUCGGAAUUACUGGGCGUAAAGCGCAUGCAGGUGGUUUGUUAAGUCAGAUGUGAAAGCCCGGGGCUCAACCUCGGAAUUGCAUUUGAAACUGGCAAACUAGAGUACUGUAGAGGGGGUAGAAUUUCAGGUGUAGCGGUGAAAUGCGUAGAGAUCUGAAGGAAUACCGGUGGCGAAGGCGGCCCCCUGGACAGAUACUGACACUCAGAUGCGAAAGCGUGGGGAGCAAACAGGAUUAGAUACCCUGGUAG